GAGUAGCUGGGAUUAUAGGCACGCGCCACCACGCCCAGCUAAUUUUUGUAUUUAUAGUAGAGACGGGGGUUUCAUCAUGUUGGCCAGGAUGGUAUCAAUCUCCUGACCUCGUGAUGCACCCGCCUUUGCCUCCUAAAGUGUUGGGAUUACAGGCUUGAGCCACCGCGCCCGGCCUUCUCUCUAUUUUGUUUGUUUGUUUGUUUGUUUGUUUGUUUACUGUCAUUCAUUUAGCCCUUUCCAUACGCUUUUGAAGUUAAAUUGGUUCUGUGAUUUUAUGAUUACAUAUAAUGUUCUAGUCAUUCUUGUACGGGCAUUUUCGGCGUUUUCAGCCACUGGUGUAUUUCUAUAGGAUAGAGGUGCAAUUACUAUAGGAAGAGCAAUUACUCCAUCAUAGUGUUCACACGGUUUUUAUAUCAUUCCAUUCUCUCUCCUCUGUUGGCUUAUUAGCUAUAACUCUUUCUUUUGUUACUUUAGUAAUUCCCUUAGGGCUUAUAGCAAACCUUUUUAACUGAACACAGUCAACCUUCAAGUGAUAUUAAACCUCGCCUUCUGGCCUUGAAGUUAUUGCUGACAUGUACUUUGCUUUUACGCAUGUUAUAAACCCACAACCCAUUGUUAUUGCUUUUGUUUAAAUGGUCAAACUUUUACAAAAGAAAUUUACAAAAUAAGAAAAUACCUAGUAUAGUUACCUAUUUCUGGUGUUCUUCAUUUCCUCAUGUAGAUCUGGAUUUUCAUCUGGUAUUGGAUUCCUUCUGCCCGGAAGACUCCUUUGACGUUUCUGUAGUGUGGGUCAGCUGGUAGUGAAUUCGGUCAGCUUAUGAACUCAAAAGAGGUGUAGGAGGAGAGAAGCUCAAUUAUCACCCUGGUCUCCUGGAGUAUCCCAGGCACAGUCCCAAGAGUUCAGCUUUUCAUACUCGAGUUCCUGGGUCCUGAAGGCCUUUUUGGGGAAAGUACUGAUGUUCGUGUCAAGGUUGGGAAGAAAGGGUUUGGGAGGAACCAAGCAACAGGGAGGCAAAGAGAAGACAUCAACAAGCGAGGCAAGAACUUUCCACAGGCUCACACUGGAUACAGGACCAGAGACAAGAAGCUGGCGAAGCCUAUAUGGGUUCCCGAUGUCACAUCGCAGCUACCGCAUUGGAGGGUUAAGAGCCGCUGACAAAUCUCUUUCGGGAAGGGGCUGUUUCCCUCCCUGUUUUCCUCAGAAGAAGAGUUCCAAACAAAAGAUCUACUACCCUGAGAAGCGGUGAAGUGCUCCUGGGGCCCACCAAGGCCACACAAGUCAAGGAGUGGAUGGCCUUGCCCCAGCUAUGGCUCAGAUCACCUUUGCAGGAUGACAUCUUGUUGGGAGAUGGUCAUCAGAGACAGGGCCAUGGAAGACGCUGUCAGGAGGAGGCACAGAGGAAAGGCUAUGGGAGCACAAAGCAAGAAAGUGGCCUUCUGCAAGCCAGGAAGAGAGGCCUCCCCAGAAACCAACUCUACCAGCACAUUGAUCUUGGACUUUUGGCCUCUAGAACAUUGAGAAAAUAAAAGUCUGCUGUUAAACCACCCAA
ensembl:lncRNA novel transcript